GGGGGAGCCUGGGAAUGGUGGGGUUCAGUUUGGGACUGGCAAUCCAGUGCAUAAAGGACACCCUAGAAGUCUCGUGUUGCACCUCGGGGGACCCUGCUGGGGCCCAAAAGCCAGGGCUUGGAUCUUCCUCUGAUAGUUCUACUUCAUUCUGUCAAAGAUCCAAUUCCCGAAAGAGUUUUUUUCAUCAUCUUCAAACAUCCAGCCCUCAGUGUAUUGGAUGAUACCUGCCAAUACUGGAAAGGCCAUGUGACCACACACCAAGAAGCUAGCUGUCUGCCAGCCAGGAAGAGAGCCCUGACCAGUAAUCAAAUUGGCUGAAGACUUGAUCUUGGACUCCUUGUCUCCAGAAAUGAACUCAGAAGACCAAAAACAGCACUACCGAAUUGCUCCCUCUCCUCCCCUGCAUCUUAUGUAGCCUGACUUCUCACCUCUGAAGCCCCAAACAUACUGUAGCCAACAGACGUUUAACCUGUACAGGAAGCUCGUAUUUUUCUCUGAGAGUGGGUAUGGAACUAUCAGGUGAACUCUACUUUGGAAAGUGUGGUGGCCAGAGAAGAAUUAUUGCUUCCUUUACUUUGUGGCCUUGGUAAGAGCUUACGAGUGGAACCUCAAAAGUAAGUGCCAGAUGGCUGUAGAAGAGAUGUACUUGGGGUCUACUGUUGUCCAGAAAUUCUAGAAGAAAUGCCUUUGAAAUCAAUCCUUUGCAAGCUGGACCUUGGAUAGCCCGGGUCACCACUGCAUGGUGGGAGGAAACCUAUUUUUCCACAGUUGUCAUUGGACUAAUCCUUGUAGUACAAAUAAGCUUGACUCAGUGGAGGCAGAAUAAAGCCCAGAAAACAUGCUUUUUUACAUCACAUGCCCUCGAUUACCUCUGGGUGCAGGACUUAAUCCAUUAGUUAAGUGAAAAACUCUGGAGGACAGGAGAGACAUGCCGAGGCUAAGGGACCAGUCCUCGUCUGUGAAGGCUGGAGCAAACCUGGCAGGGCCCUGUAUCUGAAGACUGACACUAGUCCCGAAGAGCAGGACUAUUGGGAUUGCAAGUAGCAUAAGCUGUAAUUGAAAGCAAAUUGAUUGAAAUGAAAUAAAUUGAUAUAAAGAUUAGGUUAAA
ensembl:lncRNA novel transcript